rnacentral:rRNA from 1 species
GCUUGCUAUUUUUAUGAAGAGCGGCGAACGGGUGAGUAACGCGUGGGAAAUCUGCCGAGUAGCGGGGGACAACGUUUGGAAACGAACGCUAAUACCGCAUAACAAUGAGAAUCGCAUGAUUCUUAUUUAAAAGAAGCAAUUGCUUCACUACUUGAUGAUCCCGCGUUGUAUUAGCUAGUUGGUAGUGUAAAGGACUACCAAGGCGAUGAUACAUAGCCGACCUGAGAGGGUGAUCGGCCACACUGGGACUGAGACACGGCCCAGACUCCUACGGGAGGCAGCAGUAGGGAAUCUUCGGCAAUGGGGGCAACCCUGACCGAGCAACGCCGCGUGAGUGAAGAAGGUUUUCGGAUCGUAAAACUCUGUUGUUAGAGAAGAACGUUAAGUAGAGUGGAAAAUUACUUAAGUGACGGUAUCUAACCAGAAAGGGACGGCUAACUACGUGCCAGCAGCCGCGGUAAUACGUAGGUCCCAAGCGUUGUCCGGAUUUAUUGGGCGUAAAGCGAGCGCAGGUGGUUUCUUAAGUCUGAUGUAAAAGGCAGUGGCUCAACCAUUGUGUGCAUUGGAAACUGGGAGACUUGAGUGCAGGAGAGGAGAGUGGAAUUCCAUGGGUUAGCG